CCGGCACGGGUGAGUAACGCGUAUGCAACUUACCUAUCAGAGGGGGAUAACCCGGCGAAAGUCGGACUAAUACCGCAUGAAGCAGGGGCCCCGCAUGGGGAUAUUUGCUAAAGAUUCAUCGCUGAUAGAUAGGCAUGCGUUCCAUUAGGCAGUUGGCGGGGUAACGGCCCACCAAACCGACGAUGGAUAGGGGUUCUGAGAGGAAGGUCCCCCACAUUGGUACUGAGACACGGACCAA
rnacentral:rRNA from 1 species